CGUUGUACGUUAUAUUUUGAAUAUUUAAAAAUACUAGACUUGCUAUAUCUCGGCCGCGCGCCGCGAGCCGUGAGCCGUUGACGGGUGACGGAAACCGGUUCGGCGAACUAUCCCUCCUAUGAGGCGACGCGAGCAGAGCCGGCGGUCAAUCGCGAGACGGUCACUAGCACGACGCCGCGAGCCGAUACAGACUACUACUACUACUGGUCUAUGUACAUUUUUAACUCGCGAUUGCAUUGCAUAUAAUUUAAUCUGGAAUAAACUAUUGUGCUUUUAAAAUUACAUUUAGAGUCAGUGUAUACCCCAGAUCGGGGUUCAAGUACCUGACUACCUCCAGUGCACCUACCGUAGUGCACCUACCCUAAGUGCACCUACCUACGCGCUUGUCUACCUACGUGCCUGUGUCUACCUACGUGCCUGUGUCUACCUACGUGCUUGUGCCUACCUACGUGCCGCGCCUAUCUACGUGUCCUGCAUCUACCUGCGCGUCCGGCAUCUACUAGCGCGCUGCACACCUACCCCGCCUGACCGCUGCCGAGCUGCCUGACUAUACAGGAUAGUGGUUCUAUAGCGGGCCAGAACUUAACGCGAGCUCGAUUAUUCUAAACCCACUCCCGGCUCUGCCGAUCCUUUUGUAGAAUAUACUUAUAUACUAAUUUACUAAAUUCCUUUUUAUUUUUCUACCUACUAGGGUACCUACUACUAAACAAAAACGUUACAGUGGCGCCCAAUAAAGGUAGAAUAUAUCGAGCCGUGUUUAGUUCUUGUUUGCUAAGCAUUUUGUAGUUGUCCUGGUGUUGGUUGUCUGUCAGUUGUGUUGAAUUUAAUCACAGCCUACCAAAUGUGAAUCUACCCACAUCUUUUUAAUAAUUUUUUUUCUCUCUAAUAUUUAAAUUUAACCGUCCAUUUUUACUUGACCUACCGUCAAUAUUUUUCUACCCCAAAA